GAUGAACGCUGGCGGCGUGCCUAAUACAUGCAAGUCGAGCGGACGGACGAGAAGCUUGCUUCUCUGACGUUAGCGGCGGACGGGUGAGUAACACGUGGAUAACCUACCUAUAAGACUGGGAUAACUUCGGGAAACCGGAGCUAAUACCGGAUGAUAUUUUGAACCGCAUGGUUCAAAAGUGAAAGACGGUCUUGCUGUCACUUAUAGAUGGAUCCGCGCUGCUUUAGCUAGUUGGUAAGGUAACGGCUUACCAAGGCAACGAUGCAUAGCCGACCUGAGAGGGUGAUCGGCCACACUGGAACGUGGACACGGUCCAGACUCCUACGAGACGCAGCAGAAGGGAAUCUUCCGCAAUGGGCGAAAGCCUGACGGAGCGACGCCGCGUGAGUGAUGGAGGUCUUCGGAUCGGAAAACUCUCUUAUUAGGGAAGAACAUAUGUGUAAGUAACUGUGCACAUCGUGACGGUACCUAGUCAGAAAGCCACGGCUAACUACGUG
rnacentral:rRNA from 1 species